rnacentral:rRNA from 1 species
GAUGAACGCUGGCGGCGUGCCUAAUACAUGCAAGUCGAGCGAACGGACGAGAAGCUUGCUUCUCUGAUGUUAGCGGCGGACGGGUGAGUAACACGUGGAUAACCUACCUAUAAGACUGGGAUAACUUCGGGAAACCGGAGCUAAUACCGGCUAAUAUUUUGAACCGCAUGGUUCAAAAGUGAAAGACGGUCUUGCUGUCACUUAUAGAUGGAUCCGAGCUGCAUUAGCUAGUUGGUAAGGUAACGGCUUACCAAGGCAACGAUGCAUAGCCGACCUGAGAGGGGGAACGGCCACACUGGAACUGAGACACGGUCAAGACUAAUACGGGAGGCAGCAGUAGGGAAUCUUCGGCAAUGGGCGAAAGCCUGACGGAGCAACGCCGCGUGAGUGAUGAAAGUCUUCGGAUCGUAAAACUCUGUUAUUAGGGAAGAACAUAUGUGUAAGUAACUGUGCACAUCUUGACGGUACCUAAUCAGAAAGCCACGGAUAACUACGUG